GUGCUCUCAGCUUUCUGUUCUCUGCCAAGCCACCUGCCUGAUCCUUCCAGAGACCUCCCUGUGGAAGGCGAGCCCCCCGCCCUACCUGGUCCUGCUGGAGCGACUGAUUGGGCAAGGCUUCCUGGUGACGGGGGCACGGCUCACCACCAUGGACGAACCGCAGGCCUGCUUCAUCUCUGCAGUCCUGAGUGCGACCGACAGGGAGGCGCCCGUCAUGUGCUCUCGGUUACUGAAGGGCACCUGCCUGAUCAUUGCAGCCCAGCGAGACAAUGCAGUGGUUUGCUUUGAUGCCCUGCUGAGCAGUGAUCACUGUCAGAAACAAGCUGUAUCAGAUUGCAUGAAACAACUUCUGUAUCCAAAGACUGAAAA